rnacentral:rRNA from 1 species
GAGUUUGAUCCUGGCUCAGGACGAACGCUGGCGGCGCGCUUAACACAUGCAAGUCGAACGUGAAGCCGGGGCUUGCCCCGGUGGAAAGUGGCGAACGGGUGCGUAACACGUGAGCAACCUGCCCCGAAGACUGGGAUAACACCGGGAAACCGGUGCUAAUACCGGAUACCCUCUUUUGAUCGCAUGGUCGGAUGAGGAAAUGGAUUCCGCUUCGGGAUGGGCUCGCGGCCUAUCAGCUUGUUGGUGAGGUAACGGCCCACCAAGGCGACGACGGGUAGCUGGUCUGAGAGGACGACCAGCCGCACUGGGACUGAGACACGGCCCAGACUCCUACGGGAGGCAGCAGUGGGGAAUCUUGCUCAAUGGGCGAAAGCCUGAAGCAGCGACGCCGCGUGCGGGAUGAAGGCCUCGGUUGUAA